rnacentral:lncRNA from 1 species
GCUUAUUUAUCCAUCUGCGCAUAAUUGUUUGUGUGUGCCUCUGUGCAUUGCUUUCAUCUUUGAGCAUUAGUCGUAUAUCAUUUCAUGAUCAUUGUUCAUACUUUGUGACAUUUUGUUUUGUCCAUUGAGGAAUCAAUUGUAAGUCCAACUAUUGGCAGUUGUUUCCUAUGAUCUGGUAGGAUUUGGAACUAAGACCAUUAAUUGGCAUUCCUUUCCUUGGAGUCGAGUGUAAGACCAUU